GAUGAACGCUAGCGGCAGGCUUAAUACAUGCAAGUCGAGGGGCAGCACGAAUAGCUAUAUUUGGUGGCGACCGGCGCACGGGUGCGUAACACGUAUACAAUCUACCUUCAACAGGGGGAUAGCCUUUCGAAAGAGAGAUUAAUACCCCGUAAUAUAUGAAAUGGCAUCAUUUUAUAUUGAAAGCUCCGGCGGUUGAAGAUGAGUAUGCGUCUGAUUAGCUAGUAGGUGAGGUAACGGCUCACCUAGGCUACGAUCAGUAGGGGAUCUGAGAGGACUAACCCCCACACUGGUACUGAGACACGGACCAGACUCCUACGGGAGGCAGCAGUAAGGAAUAUUGGUCAAUGGAGGCAACUCUGAACCAGCCAUGCCGCGUGCAGGAUGAAGGCCCUAUGGGUCGUAAACUGCUUUUAUACCAGAGAAAACCCUUCCACGUGUGGAAGGCUGAUAGUAUGGUAAGAAUAAGCAUCGGCUAACUUCGUGCCAGCAGCCGCGGUAAGACGAAGGAUGCAAGCGUUAUCCGGAUUCAUUGGGUUUAAAGGGUGCGUAGGCGGACUGAUAAGUCAGUGGUGAAAUCUCUCAGCUUAACUGAGAAACUGCCAUUGAUACUGUCAGUCUAGAGUAUAGAUGACGUUGGCGGAAUAUGACAUGUAGUGGUGAAAUACUUAGAUAUGUCAUAGAACACCGAUUGCGAAGGCAGCUAACGAAACUAUAACUGACGCUGAGGCACGAAAGUGCGGGGAUCAAACAGGAUUAGAUACCCUGGUAGUCCGCACCGUAAACGAUGAUUACUCGUUGUUGGCAAUAUGACCGUCAGCGACCAAGCGAAAGCGAUAAGUAAUCCACCUGGGGAGUACGCCGGCAACGGUG
rnacentral:rRNA from 1 species